rnacentral:rRNA from 1 species
GAUGAACGCUGGCGGCGUGCCUAAUACAUGCCAGUCGAGCGAACAGACGAGGAGCUUGCGCCUCUGACGUUAGCGGCGGACGGUUGAGUAACACGUGGAUAACCUACCUAUAAGACUGGGAUAACUUCGGGAAACCAGAGCUAAUACCGGAUAAUAUAUUGAACCGCAUAGUUCAAUAGUGAAAGACGGUUUUGCUGUCACUUAUAGAUUGAUCCGGGCCGCAUUAGCUAGUUGGUAAGGUAACGGCUUACCAAGGCAACGAUGCGAAGCCGACCUGAGAGGGUGAUCGGCCACACUGGAAGUGAGACACGGUCCAGACUCCUACGGGAGGCAGCAGUAGGGACUCCUACGGGAUGGGGGAAAGCCUGACGGAGCAACGCGGCGUGAGUGAUGAAGGUCUUCGGAUCGUAAAACUAUGUUAUUAGGGAAGAACAAAUGUGUAAGUAAAUAUGAACAAAUUGACGGUACCUAAUGAGAAAGCGACGGCUAAAUACGUG